GGGCCCGUAGCUCAGCCUGGAUGGAGCGCCGAGUUAGGCUCUUAAGAGCCAACGCGUAAGCCUUAUAUGGCUCCGCUCCGGACAAACCUAAGAAAGCCGGAGGUCCCGGGUUCAAGUCCCGGCGGGCCCACCA
rnacentral:tRNA from 1 species